UACGUAGGGUGCAAGCGUUAAUCGGAAUUACUGGGCGUAAAGCGUGCGCAGGCGGUUUUGUAAGUCUGACGUGAAAUCCCCGGGCUCAACCUGGGAAUUGCGUUGGAGACUGCAAGGCUAGAAUCUGGCAGAGGGGGGUAGAAUUCCACGUGUAGCAGUGAAAUGCGGUAGAAGAUGUGGAGGAACACCGAUGGCGAAGGCAGCCCC
rnacentral:rRNA from 1 species